UAGCCCAGCACCGAAGCCUGUGGUCAUUUGACUGCUAGGCAAUGUGGUGUUUAGGUUGGUUCUUGGCAUUACUGCUCCACCCUAAGUCCAGCAAUGAGUACGGCUUACUGGAUUGGCCCAUUGAGGGUGAAAGGCCCGUGUGGGUGGAGACUCAGACUAUCAGUUUUGCCCUGAAUUAACCUUGGAGUCGGGUUGUUUGUGAAUGCAGCCCAAAGUGGGUGGUAAACUCCAUCCAAGGCUAAAUACUGGCACGAGUCCGAUAGCGAACAAGUACCGUGAGGGAAAGUUGAAAAGUACUUUGAAGAGAGAGUAAACAGUUCGUGAACCCGCUCAGAGGUAAACGGGUGGAGUUGAACUGGAAGCCCUGUGGAUUCAGCUGAUGAGUAUGGCAUGAGCUUGGGCAUAUUGGUCGGCUUUCAGAGUCCGCUUAGCUGCGGGUCCUUGCCCUACCGGGUUUGGAUGUGCGUUACGCUCAUUAGGCGUUGUGCGCUCUGUUUGUUCCGGGCCUGCUCGUCAGUGCACUUCCUCAGGGUGUUCACCACGACCGGCGCUGCUGUCUGUCUGUUGCGGUCAAACCGGUUAGGCUUAGUCAUUUUGGCUAAGUUUGAUCGGGAUGGCAGGUGGCUCUUGAGGUUUUCUGGCUUCGGCUGGUUGAGCUCUUGAGUGUAAUUAGCCGGCUGCAAUGGAUCUGUGCGGUGCGUCGGAGCUGGCGGCUUUGGUGUGUGUACGCGUGCUGUAGCUUACUGGCUUGGCCAAGUUUGAUUAAUGUGUUACCGGCUUCGGUGGGUCUAUUAUUGGCUUGGCUUUGCGUAGUGAGUGGUGGCGCGUGCGACACUAGCUAGGGCCAAAAGUCUGUGGUGUUGUGGUAAACUAUCCACCCGACCCGUCUUGAAACACGGACCAAGGAGUUUAACAUGUGCGCGAGUCAUUGGGCGUUACGAAACCCAAAGGCGUAGUGAAAGUAAAGGUUCGGCUUGUCCGAGCUGAGGUGAGAUCCUGCUGUUUCUCUGCCUUGGACUACCAAGCAUUCGAGCAGUGGGCGCAUCACCGGCCCGUCUCAUGAUGUAGUCAUAUGACCUUUGGUUGUGUGCACCUUCGGGGCGGAGCAAGAGCGUACACGUUGAGACCCGAAAGAUGGUGAACUAUGCCUGCGCAGGUUGAAGCCAGAGGAAACUCUGGUGGAGGACCGCAGCGAUUCUGACGCGCAAAUCGAUCGUCUAACGUGGGUAUAGGGGCGAAAGACUAAUCGAACC
rnacentral:rRNA from 1 species